rnacentral:rRNA from 1 species
AUUGAACGCUGGCGGCAUGCCUUACACAUGCAAGUCGAACGGCAGCACGGGAGCAAUCCUGGUGGCGAGUGGCGAACGGGUGAGUAAUAUAUCGGAACGUGCCCAGUCGUGGGGGAUAACGUAGCGAAAGCUACGCUAAUACCGCAUACGAUCUAUGGAUGAAAGCGGGGGAUCGCAAGACCUUGCGCGAUUGGAGCGGCCGAUAUCAGAUUAGGUAGUUGGUGAGGUAAAGGCUCACCAAGCCGACGAUCUGUAGCUGGUCUGAGAGGACGACCAGCCACACUGGGACUGAGACACGGCCCAGACUCCUACGGGAGGCAGUAGUGGGGAAUUUUGGACAAUGGGCGCAAGCCUGAUCCAGCAAUGCCGCGUGCAGGAUGAAGGCCUUCGGGUUGUAAACUGCUUUUGUACGGAGCGAAAAGGCUUCCACUAAUACUGGGGGCUCAUGACGGUACCGUAAGAAUAAGCACCGGCUAACUACGUGCCAGCCGCCGCAGUAACAC